GUUGAACGCUGGCGGAAUGCUUUACACAUGCAAGUCGAACGGCAGCACGGGGGCAACCCUGGUGGCGAGUGGCGAACGGGUGAGUAAUACAUCGGAACGUGCCCAGUCGUGGGGGAUAACGUAGCGAAAGUUACGCUAAUACCGCAUACGAUCUACGGAUGAAAGCGGGGGACCGUAAGGCCUCGCGCGAUUGGAGCGGCCGAUGUCAGAUUAGGUAGUUGGUGAGGUAAAGGCUCACCAAGCCGACGAGCUGUAGCUGGUCUGAGAGGACGACCAGCAACACUGGGGCGGCGACACGGCCCAGACUCCUACGGGAGGCAGCAGUGGGGAAUUUUGGACAAUGGGCGCAAGCCUGAUCCAGCCAUUCCGCGUGCAGGAUGAAGGCCUUCGGGUUGUAAACUGCUUUUGUACGGAACGAAACGGCUUUUUCUAAUACAGAGAGCUAAUGACGGUACCGUAAGAAUAAGCACCGGCUAACUACGUGCCAGCCGCCGCCGUAA
rnacentral:rRNA from 1 species